rnacentral:lncRNA from 1 species
AAUGAAGUUCCCAAGAAGCAAGGCAGGAUAGUUUCAAUUGUUGGAUUUGGAGGUCUGGGAAAGACAACUCUUGCCAAUGCAGUGUACAAAAAGAUUAGAGCACAAUUUGAUUGCUAUGCUUUUGUUUCUGUUUCUCAAACUCCUGACCUGAAGAAACUAUACAAAUGCUUGCUAUAUGAUCUUGGCAAGAGCAUCAACGAAGAAACAUUGGAUGAGAGGCGACUCAUAGAAGCACUCAGAGAAUUCCUUGAAGACAAAAGGUACGAAAGCAUUCCUUUCGCCAAUUUAUACAUAUGAACUUUUUUGGACUGAUAAUUUAUGCCCUCUGUUCACAAUACUAUAAGUCUACAUAGGGUUAAUUAAAUGUUCAUGCACGUGGCACCUAUUAAAUUACAAAAUACAACCACUUAAGCUUUACCACAACAUUAUUAAGUGCAAAUAAUUUCCUCACUGGACUUAUUUUAUCCACAGACUUGCCAAUCCAGCUGCUCCCGAGCUAUUUUAAUUUAAUCAUUAAACCAUUAGCAGUGGUCUAGUUUGCUUAAUUUUCUUGUAGCUGGUAUAUGAACAACAUUAGAGCUUUCUUCAGUCCUUAAACCACUAUUUUUGCUAAUAACUUGGCAUAUGUGUAGGUAUUUUGUUGUUGUUGAUGAUGUAUGGGAUAUAUCAGUUUGGAAAAUGAUUAGAUGUGCUUUGCCUGAUAAUGAUGUUGGAUAUACUAUUAUUACAACAACCCGUAUUUCUGAUGUUGCUGAACAAGCUGGGGUGCUUACAACAUGAAACCUCUUUGUUUGAAUAACUCCUGACAACUAUUGUAUAGAAGAAUAUUUGGUAAUGGGAACAAAGACAACAAUGAAGAAGAAGAAAAAUGUCCUCAUGAGGAGCUAGCCGAAGUAUCUGACAGAAUACUGAAGAAAUGUGCCGGUGUGCCAUUAGCUAUAAUUACGAUGGCUAGUUUGCUAGCUUGCAAAGCAAGAGAUAAAAUGGAGUGGUAUGAGGUGUGCAAUUCUGUUGGUACUGGUCUGGAAAAUAAUCUAGAUGUGGAGAAUAUGAGAAAGAUUUUGUCAUUUAGCUAUUAUGAGCUACCAUGCCAUUUAAGGGCUUGCUUGUUAUAUUUGAGCAUGUUUCCUGAAGAUUAUAUAAUUGAGAAGGAUCGUUUGAUAAGGAUGUGGUUAGGUGAAGGUUUUAUCCAAUGUGAAAAAGUAGGGAAGAGCCUAUUUGAACUUGGAGAGAGUUAUUUCAAUGAGCUUAUAAACAGGAGCAUGAUCCAACCAGAAUAUGAUCUUGAUGACAUAAUGAUACAAGGUUGUCGUGUACAUGAUAUGGUGCUUGAUCUUAUCCGCUCCUUGUCAAGUGAAGAAAACUUUGCUACUGUACUAAGUGAUAUGGGAGGCACAUCUCCGUCAAAUACGAUUCGGAGGUUGUCCCUUCAGAAUGGCCAAGAAAGUCAUGUGAUAGCUCAAGCUACUUUCAGCAUGAAACAUGCAAGGUCGGUUGUUGUCUUUCCAGCUGCUGCUUCUCUAGUGCCACCUCUUGACUGCUGCCGAGUUUUACGUGUUCUGGAUUUAGAGGAUUGCAAUCUUUCACAAGCUAAUAGUAGCCUUAAGUACCUUGGGAAUCUACAUCACUUGAGGUACUUGGGACUAUUUAAGACAGGUAUUUCUCAGCUCCCGGAAGAAAUAGUAAACCUGCAGUUUCUACAGACAUUGGAUGUAAAGCACAACAAAAUUUCCAGGUUGCCUUCGAGUAUUGUCCAGCUAAGAAAGUUGAUGUGCCUAUACAUUAACUGGACUACAAUAGUUCCAAAUGGAAUUGGAAACCUAACAUGCCUUGAACAGCUGUCAAGGUUACGCAUUAAUGACUCCACCAGAAACAUUAUAGAAGAGUUGGACCAGCUAACUGAACUGAGGCAGCUGUCCAUUCAAUUGGACGAGUGGAACGAUAAGCUGUUGGAAUGCCUAUGCAAGCUACAAAAGAUGCAGGAACUAACUAUCACGGUCUAUCCUGGUCAACGCAGCAUCGGCGGAUUGGAUGCUUGGGUCGCCCCUCAACAUCUCCGUGAAUUGGAUACACAACGCAGUAUUAAGGAGAUAAAUGAACAGGUGAUGAGAGAGUAGCAAUAUCACUAAGAAAUCAAGGAGGUGUAUUGCAUCAAACAAGUAAGAUCAUUCAUCAAGAAGGAGAUGCAUGAUCAAGAUCAAGCAGUGAUCAAGGAGAGAGGAAAUAAACAGACAAGGAUUGAGGGUCUAACAUUUGCAAGAUAAGAAGUGCAAAUGAAAAGAGCUCAAGUUAUCAAGGAGGAUUGAGAAAAGAAAAUGAUCAAGGAGUGAGAAUAUUUUCCAGAAAGGUCAAGGAUAAGGCAGGAAUUGUUUAUAUAGUAAAGCAGACCUUAGGAAGUGACCAUUGCUACCUAGGCUUACGUCCUACAGUCGAUACGGCUCUGAUACCACUUCUGUCACACCCGGUUUUAAGGACAAAACCAAGUGCUACCUAUAUGUAUGCCAGGAUCAAGUUUCAUACAUAUAGUGACAUCAUUAGUGAAUAACAGCAACAGUAUCACGUAAAAAGAUACAAAGACUUACGAAACCAUCAGAGAUAUACAGCUUAAUUAUGGAAACGGAGGCUCCAAACUUCACAGGCAAUCGACUGGGGGUUGCGUACGCCUAGAACUCAGCAUCAUCUUCGGAACAACUUCAUAGCAGCUUCUUCUUCUGAGCAAUGUUGUUUAUAGCAAGGGUGAGCACUUGUCGUACUCAGCAAGUGUGAGGAGAAUAUGAAUGCAAGGGUUAAACAAGGAAAGGCUGACUGGUUGACUGCAUUAAGCAUUUUUAGUUGGUCAAAUUUUAUUAGCACCAGAUUACUAAGGUAUAAGUAUAUACCAACCCACAAUUAAUAGAAACAUAAACAUAAGCCAUAAGCAUAUGGCACAACCAUAACCAUAGCAUAAACCACAAUUUAAAUCCAUCUUCAAGUAUAUUACUCAUGUGAGGGUCCAGGCCGCUCUUAACCGUGAGCACGGCUGAUCGAUCAGUUUUACACUCUGCAGAGGUCGCACAUCUUUACCCACAAUUCGCGUAAAAGCUCAAAAGAACUUUAGACCCAACCACGCUUGUGCUGAUCAGGCACAAUACCACACUUCCGAGGUGUGAUUGCAUAGGGACGCUACGAGGCCUUUACAAAGAUUCAUUAGUCAGUGGUAACCCGCUAAGGUUUCGGUGUCUGGCGUGCACCACCCAUCCCAGGUAAAAUGCAACGACUCAGUCCCCCCUCUUGCCUCAUCACGAGUAAGGUCACCCCAGACUAAGGUUUCUAAUUAUUCAGCCAAGACCAGAGCCAUUUAGUCUUGUGGUAGCACUGUUUUCCUGGGUGGUCGCUCCAUGUUCCAAUUAAAUAUUGUAAUCUUGUAUUAACAAAAGGUAUAUCAUAAAUAGAAUAAGUUCACCAUGUUGUUCAUUAGAACCACCAUAACCCAAGUAUAGCAGCUAAGCAUAGCUACCCAACAGAAAGGUAAACCCAGGUUGGCAAGGAAUAAUCAUAAAAACUAGGCAAACCUUAAUAGGACCCAACAAAUUUAAUGCAAGCAUGUGCAAUAGUGAUUAAAUAAAGUUAUUAGGACAAAAGUACAAGGACACACUUGCCUUUCUCCAGCGACAAGUUACUUCUUACUGCUCUUCGGCUCUUGCUCUCUUGAAACUCUUAAUCUUCAAAGCUUUCGAACAGCGAUCCUUCUACUCGAAGCAAUCACCGGCACAAUCAUACAAGUAAACAAACAAAUACAACUAAGAGCAGUACACCAAAACAAAAGGAAAGCUUUAAAAGAGCGUACUAACGACAAGGCUCGAUCUAAGGUCACGCGAACGUAAGGAACGCUUAAAACGGAACUAUGGUUGAAAAGAUAAAGCUAUCGAGAGUUUUGAAUUAUAAAAGAAAGAUAAGAGCUACAAGCUUUAUUUAUUUUAGUUGAGAAAAGCAAUGUAAAGAUAUUUCAGAGAAAUAUCCUUAGUUAGAAUUAAUCAAGUCAUAUUUAUAUUUUCAUGAGAAAAGACGGUGUAAAGCUUACUCCAAUUUUAUUUAUAAAUAUUUGAGUACAAUUUAUGCAAAUUAAACAUUUAAUUUAAAAAUAAGAUACAUGUAGACAUCUAAGCGUAUAGCUUUACAUCUCGAGUUCAACUAAGUAGAUUAAAUUAAAAACACAUUUAUAUUUAUAUAAGCCAAAUUAAUAUUUAAUUAUGAAAACUCGAGAUAUAACCUAUACAGAUUUUAUUUAGAAAACAAAUUGAAUAAACAUUAAUCAAAUUGAAUUUAAUUUAUGAAACGCCGAGGUAUAACUCUUAGUGGCUUUUAAUUGGAAGAAUUAUUUAGAUAGGCAUUAAUCCAAUUAACUUUAGUUUAUGAAAAACCGAUAUAUAACCUAAUUGGCUUUUAUUUAGAAGAGGGUAUGAAGUAGGCAUUAAUCAAAUUAACAAUUAUUAUGAAAAACGAUGUUUAACACUAAAUAGAUUUUAUUUAGAGAAGAACUCGUUUGUCAGGCAUUAAUCAAUUUUAAUAUAAAUUUUAUUUUCAAAAACAUGUGUGAAGGAAAACAUUACCACUAACGUGUAAUUUACAUCAUUAUGAAUCUAACGCAACUUGAACGGACGAAAACGGAAUUAAAACGUAGAAUCUAUGGGUUAAACAACGUUGCAGGGGUCUAAACGUAAUUAACCGUAGACUUGGAGGGUUAGCAAGGAAAAUUACCAAGACUCAGAGAAUAGUCACUGCGAAUAGAUGGAUCUUCGGGGUUAGAUCUGCAAAAGAGGAUGGCUUGGAUCAGAUUGCAAGGAGCUGAAAGUUACAGGGGGUUUUCUACAAGGUUUGAAAGACACAAGAAAUAAGCUGAAAAUUUGAGUUUUCCUCAGGGGCCUAAGAGCAAAAUCACCAUCAUCUUCAACCUUCCAACGCACUCCAACUGACUGGUAACAUGUUGGCCAUAGACCGUGGUCUAGGCCGGUCCUGCCGGCGGCGACGGCCGUGGCUGGGGCGGCUUGCGCGAGCGGCGGGUGGAUGCGCCAGCAGGGAGGCUCGGCCGGCGGCUCCGGCGGCGCAGGCGGCGGCGCAGGCGGCGGCGCAGCGUGCAGGCGGCGGGCGGACGAACGGACCAGGCGUGCUGGCCCAAGUUGCGUACAGAAACAGGAUGGAUGGAGAGAGAGAAAGAGUGGAUAGCCGGAAACGAAGCCCGAUCUCGCGCAUGAACGGCAAAAUGGAACGAUAUCGACGAGACGAACAAGAUGGUGUGCUCACCUUCGGCCAGAGAUGAACAAUGGCGGUGGAAAAGCUCGCCGGAGUUGGGGAAGACGACGGAGCCGACAUCGGAUUCAUGCAAUCCACCACACCAUGGCGUAGAGCUCGAAGAGAGGAACUCCAUGGUGGUGUCGGUUUUCGCCGGAAGUCCACGGUUUCGCCGGAAAAGCUCGCCGGAGUUUGACGAAGACCGAACUUUGACUUCAGAUCUACGGAGUUAGGAGAUGCAACUCGUGAAAAGGUUUUCAGAUCUGAAAUCCUCGCGUCGAGACGAACGCGGUGAUAUAUAUAUAUAGGCCACACUCGGAAAAAGAUAUUUUCGAGUUGACUUUUUAUUUUCGGAAUUUCUGAUUUUAUUUAUCUGCGCGAAAACAAUUCCAGAAAUAGCUGGACUCGUUUUCUAGAGCGAGAAAGAUACCUAGAAAAUUCCGAAAAAUCUGAGAUAAAUCUCAGAGAUGGAUUGGGAUGCAAGGAAUCCAAAUAAAAUACUUGGAGCUCGUGAAAAGGAUUUUAGAACCUUCCAAAAAUUGGAUUUAGCUCUAGGAAAAGGAGAAUAAAUUCCAAAAAAAGAUGGAAAAUCCUCCCAAGGGUCUGGGCAACGUCUAAACGCAUUUUUCAAACUUUUGCGCUUAAGAAACACCAAGAUGCAACGACAUGAAUGCACAGACAUAGAACAACAUUAUUUAAUUUAGAAAAGCAAACAAUUAUUUUUUUCCUAUACUAAAUUUCCUGUAAAGAAAAAAAAAUAAAUGUUGGGAAAAUUUUAAAAUUAUGAGAAAAUUAUUGUUUAUUUAUUCUUUUUAUUCACAUCCUGAAAUUCAGAAAUUUCAGGGUGUGACAGAAAAGUUAAAGAUUAUAAAUGUGGAUGAAAAUAUUAUAGAGUAAUUACUAACUAAAUCUAUCACAAUUGGAUGAAGAUAAUAAGUAUAUAUAUCUAUUGUGUUUGAAUAUUUAACAAAUGAGAGGUAGCUUAUGGUAAUAUUUUUUAGCAAUGUAGUCCCAUUUUUUUUUCCAUUGGAGACUCCGCAUUAGUUCCCAUCAGACAAGCUAGAAAAAAAAAGAGACAAAUUCUCAUAAAAAUCAAAAACAUCAAACACCAAUCCUGUAAAAUCUAAUAAUCAUAGCCAUUGAUCUAUUAUAUUUUCUAAAAAGUUACCCACCACUAUCAUUGUGAAAAUAUUCAAAAAUGAGCUCUAAACCUAUAUCUAAAUUACCGAGCUCAGCUAUUAUAAAAAAUAAUCUAAAGUAAUCCCAUAAUCUUCAUCCAAUUUACUAAUACAUAUCAUUAUAAAGCAUAAAUUAAAAUGUCAUUCUAAAAUUUUAUCUAUACUACCCACGUAAGUUGUUUUUAAAAAUAACCUAAAUUAAACAUCUAAAUCUUAAUCUAAUUAUAUUCAUGUGCAUCAUACAUAAAUGUCAAAAAUAAACUAAUAUAUGAUUCUAAAUUACCUAUUUAUGUCAUUAUUAAUAUAAAAAUACUAAGUUAAAGUAUAUACACACGAUGAGUGUCACCAUUUAGACCAUUUAUACAUGUACGUGAGGAAUCGAUGAAAAAUAUUGAUUUGUAUGCUAAACAUAAUGUAUGGAGGAUUGGAGGUGCGAUACAAAAUGGAAAAAGUAUGAAUAUGGAUGAAAAAGUGCAUAGAGUAAUUAUUAAUUAAAAAUCAAUCACAAUCGGAUAAAGAUAGGUACAUAUCUAUAUAAGUAUUAUGUUGACGUAUUGAAAAAAAUAAGAGAGUAGUAGGUAAUCAAUUUUGAUUAUUAGCUAGGAGUUUAAUUUGUAAAUAAUUUUCAAAUACAAUAGCUUCUAAAAAUAUUAACCCGUGCGGGAGCACGGGUUGAUGGACUAGUGGUGUCUAAUUGUGGCAGAUAAAUAACUCCAACUCUUUCGAGAACUCCAACCCUCUGUCUUCCUCCGAAGUGUAUAUGUAUACAUACACAUUUAACAGCUUCAAUGGGUGUGGCUACAGAGUCGCCGAUCAAGAACUAGAUCAUUUUCUUCCUGUUUAGUGACUACCUGACAGACUGAACUAUGAAGUCUGAACAGGCCAGUUCUGACAGACCUCAGAGCUUCAAAAUCAGAUUUUCAGCGUGCUUUCGUCAUUUGCCAGUAGCGAUGCUUGAAGGAAAAAGUAACAUCAAAACAUUUUAAAGUGAAACAUUUUCUUUUCACAAAAGAAUAACAAGCUAAACCUCACAGGCCAUUCGGGGGAAGCUAGAGGAUGCAAGGGAAAAAGGGGGACGCAAUGGAGGAGGCGAAUUCCGGUGACGCUAACACCGAGCGAGACGCUGGUGGUGGGCCGGAACGAACGCGUCCAGGUCGAAAUCUUUUUACUACAAGGUGCCUUCAAUUCAGUUCAUCCCCUUCUCCAUUUCCUUCAUGCGCGACAUUGGCACCCGGCAAACAAAAUCACUGAUGCAUCGUGAAAAAAGCUCAUGACUCCGGGAGGCAUUCAUGAUACAUGGAUGAUUUUUGAACAGUUGUUGGGAUCGCUUGGCACCGCUUGUAGGCGUGUUAUAUAUACACUCUGCCAUGCCUUAAGUACAGAGUAACCUGCGUUUUCUCUUUCAAGCAGUUAGCUAGUCUUUGAACUAUAUGAAGCAUUGGAGGAAACCAAAUUACGAGCUUUGACUUUUGUAGCUGAACGCAUCCACAAAUUUGGUGAGGCAUAUGGGCACAUUCAGACAAUCUUUGAUCUUGAUCACUUUCGGCCUGUACAAAUCUUUUCUCUUUCACACAAUUCCAAACACGAAGAACCAGUGAAGACUUUGUAUAUACGAUGGUAUAAGCCAUAAUGGUGCGUAUCGUUAUCGUGGUCCAUGUUGCUAAUGGUAUACAGAAGUUCAAUUUAUUGGUACAAGUGGCCAUGAUGUAUUUGUGAAAAGAGCAUCCUGUUCUUGCUGACUUCAUUGAUAACACGAUCAGGUUCGCUAUUUGGAUGUGUCGAUCGUGACCGGACUUCAGAAUGCUACCUUCCUUUGUUAGGCGUGUUACAACUUACAAGAACUGUAAAGAAGAAAUAGAAACUCAGUUAACAUCAUAUCACAUACAAUGAAUCACAUCUCAUCGACAGAUAUUUGUCUGAGCUUCUCUUCAUCUCCGCUACGGCAUUGCACCCAGCAGCCUUCUACAUGGCGUUUAUGUUUUUUGUCCUGUGAUUCUAUAAUGGAUGAAGAACCGGUUACAGGUGAUCCUCGGAAGGUCACCUGAGCUUUUCCUUAAGGCCCGUCGAAUGAAUUUGUCCGCGUGCUCCUCAUGCUCCCUCGACGCACGCAUCCACGUCCAUCCCGGCCGGCGAUCACCGGUCAUAUAAGCUGAUUAGGCUGAUAGCUAUAUGAUUGAAGCGACGGCAGCACAAACUCGGGCGAGGGACGGACUCUGUUAUCGAGCGUCAACCAUCAUCGUUUACAUGUUGUUCAGAAUUCAGUCAUAUGGUUCAGUUCACUUCUUGGUUGUCAGGUAUUUCCGGGAGGCAAAAACUGACUAGACUCACUGAAGCAUGUACGCAUAGUGCCAUCUGUUCAUCACAUCAGUGGGAGGUCCUGAAAGGGAGUUUAGAUAGAAGAGAUUAAAAUUACAUUGUUUGUUUGGUGGGAAUGGGAGUUUUAAUGGGAUGAGGAAUAGGAGUUUAAUGGGAUAAGGAAUGGGAGUUUAGAGAGGCAACUCCCACUUAUCAUUUCCCCAGGGGAGGGGUGGGAAUUAGGUAAGAAUUUGUUUUAAAUGGAAGAUGAAUGCAUCUACACCGUUUAUCAUAACUUAAGAUAUAAUUUCCCACUGCUAAACCCUCACACCAAACAACGGAUAUCUAGUUUCACUUAAACUCCCACUCUUAAUUCCCUCCAAAAGACAAACAAGGAAAUGGCACUAAAAAUCAUAUUCCCAAAUAAAUUCCCUCCACCAACUCCCACCGCUAAUUCCGAAGCCCCUUCCCAUUAGUUGCCCAACGCACCCUUAAAUUAGACGAAACUGGCACCGGUCAAAAACAGAAUACUGAUCGAUCAGAUGAUCACCUAUGUGCUGUGAAAUGAAAUGAUUCAUGAACAGUAACCGUAUGACUUGUUGGAGAUCACUCUAAAAGACAGCCACCCUCGAGGUCAUCUUCUUCGGCAUGAGCCAACUUGCAUCGUGAAAUCUUUUGGCUUCAGGCGAAGGUUGCUAACAUCGUGAGACCAAUUUGGCAUAAAAACCAUGUUAGCCUCGCGCUGUCUCUGUAGCUCGGGUCUCGAAGCUAAGGCAUAAUUGCUAAUGGCUAAAAUGUGACAAAGCUUACCCUCGGAUGCUCGAAGCUAACCUCGAGUGACAAGUUUUUUACUGUGUUUUAUUCAGGGUUACCGGAAUGAGGACGCUAAGGCUCAAGGCACGAGGCUAGGCAUCUUUCUCGGCACGAGGAUGAGAGAACUUCAAGCACGAGGUAAAGAGGUUCGCUGGAAAGAUGCUAAAGGCACAAAGGCGUGAAAAGCAUGAUUGCAUGGAGGCGUUGGAAACGUGAACCCCCGGUGGCGUGAUUAACGUGACUACCCGCUAGCGUGAGAAGCGUGACCCAAUAGAAGAGACCAAGUCGAACAAGGUACCUCCAACCUUUAUGUACAGUAGUUGAGAUAGGGUGAUCUUAGAAUGUAAAGUGUCCCUCGGAUCACUAUAAAAGAGGAGCACUACCCUGGUGUAAAGGGAUGAUCUUUUUUGAGAACUGAAUCACGAGUGCUAACUCUACAUUGUUGUGUUCGAGUCUCCUUGAGGAGUUCUCUAUCGCUAGGUGUGAAAGCCUACAGAGUCUUGAAUCUUCCCAAGGUGCGUCAGCUGUGGGUAAGUUGCUGUCAAGUUUAAGGCGUGUGGAUGAGUUGGGCAGUUUGGAGCAGCUGUGGCUGAAUGUGGAUUUGCAGGACCUCGCUUCUCAGUGGGUGCCUGGGCUUAAACAACAGCGCCAAUAACUCCAUGGGGAAGACCUGGAUAUCUACACAUGGUGACUGAGGUACGAGAAAAACUGGGCAUUAAUUUAGUUGCUCCUUAAUUUGUUUGGUUGUCCAUCUAAUUAAUGUUGUUUUCUCUCUGAAUUUUGUAGUUUCAACCGACACUAGCAUCUUGAAUUUGUGGAUAUUAGUCUUCUGUAGGAAGGAGGACUGAUGAUAAAGUGCAACGAUCAAGAUGAACUGAGGUCGAAGGGUGGGAACUGAGAGAUGGAAAUCAAGAGCAGCUGCAUGCGAUGCAUCGAUUCUUGCUCUAAGGUUGGUUCUAUGAGAACACAGGCAACACAGGGAGAAGGCUUCCUCUCUUCUUUGGCCCAUUGGAAGCCUUGUUUAAUCUUGUUCAAGUGUUUGCUAUUGUUGUGUGCAUGUCUAAACAAAAUGUGUGCUACUUACUUGAGUUUCUCGAUUAAUUCAUUCUGUAAGGCCUGGUUUGGUUCGUUUGCUUAUUUUUAAGCAUCCGUCAUAUCGAAUGUUUAGAUACUGAUUAGGAGUAUUAAACGUAGACUAUUUACAAAAUCCAUUACAUAAGUGGAGGCUAAACGGCGAGACGAAUCUAUUAAGCCUAAUUAGUCCAUGAUUUGACAAUGUGUUGCUACAGUAAACAUUUGCUAAUGAUGGAUUAAUUAGGUUUAAUAGGUUCGUCUCGCUGUUUAGCCUCCACUUAUGUAAUGGGUUUUAUAAAUAGCCUACGUUUAAUACUCCUAAUUAGUAUCUAAACAUUGAUGUGACACUUGCUUAAAAAUAAGCAAAGGGAACCAAACGCCCCCUAAGAUGGGCUUCUAUUCCUUGUACUUAGCGAACUUGUAAUCAUAUCUUGGCUGGUGCCUAUGCUGCUGCUCCGUCGUCAAUUUGUCACCUGCUCUUUCACUGUGAUGCGAUUACAAUUUGUUGGGUGCAAUCAAUUUCUUCCGUUCUGUUCUCAAAAAAAUGUCAGAACUUGGAGAAUCACAGCCAUCAAGAUGCACUGAUGUCGGAACUCGGAGAAGGCUCCUUCUCUUCUUUGGCCCAUGGGAAGGCUUGUUUAAUGUUGUUCAAGUGUUUGGGUAUCCUUGUGUGCAUAUCUGAAUAAAUUGUGUGCUACUUGAGUCUCUCGAUUAAUUCAAUCUGUGUGAUGGCUUGUAUUCCUUGUACUUCGUGAACUUGUAAUGUCAACUUCAUCUGCUGUUGCAUGCUUUCUGUUGCCAACUGAGCUCCUGUUUUGUUACCACUGCUAUUAAUUUUUACUCUAAUAGAACUUCUGUUACUCGUUCCCCUGCUUAGUUCCCUAAUGCAUCUUAUGUCAAACAAUCAAGUCAUCCCGUGAAUGGUGAAAUGCGGGUUAGCUCUAAAAAUCAUAUCUUGGCUGGUGCCUAUGCCACUGCUCUGCCAUCAAUUUGUCACCUGUCCUUUCACUGUGAUGCGAUUACAUUUUGUUGGGUGCAAUCAAUUUCUUCGGUUCUGUUCUCAAAAAAAAAAUCUUCCAUUCAUAGGACUAGAUUUGCACGAGCAAAUUUCCGCUCAAAUUCGUGCAGCUAGAUGAGGCACGAGUCGUCAUUAGUCGAUACUUAGGUAGCUGCAGUUCUGAGCAUCUACUGAAACUCUGUUCUCUUUGCAUCUACUCUGUUUUCUUCGAACCCUGCUUGAUUCAGUACCAACACAAGACAGCUAGCCGGAUCAGGUAGCGUGGUCGCUCUACUACAGAUGAACCUCUGAACAUUAAUUUCCUCUGUUUCUAUAAAUCGUGCAGCUGUUCAACAAUAAGAAACCAACUAAUUUCAUCAUGUUUAUUCAAAAAAUGGCUGGCUUGUGGAAAUGCCCGAAUUGAUGGACUAGAAUGUUGAACACAAAGUUUGGGAAAAGAGUUAAUCUCAGAAUUAGAGUUGGCAUGCAUGGAUCAUGAUGCGACUUAGAUCUACUUGUGUAUAUCCAAUUGCAUCAAGGAAAAGAGCUGCUCCAGAGCUAUCUUGAAGCUUUCUCCUCCAAGCGCAGGGAGGAAUAGAACAGAGCAGAGAACAGCUGCACUGCAAAGGCGCUCUCUGCACUCCUAGGAAGACUGAUUGGACUGAGAAAACAUGUGGUUGGACUUUUGACUAGGGGAGCUAAGGUGAACGAUUGUUGACUAGGAAGGCAUGAGGUUGGACCUCUCAUUCGGUCCGCUAAAAGAACAAUUAUUGUUGACUAAGAAAACAUGAGGUUCGGCCUCAGAUGGAAUUUGUAAGGUCCAAAGGGCCACUUUCAUAUCUUCUCCAUUCUAGAGGAUCGGAAGCUUUGGUCAGUUUUGUAUUCAUUUCUUUGCAAAAGAAACGUACUCAGAUGCCUCCUAUGGUCUCCAUGGUUGGUUGCAAUCACCUAACUGAAUUAAUUGAACGAUAGAUAGAGCAUACUGUAAAUUUUUUAUGACCAAGGACAAAAGGAACGACUUCUACUGAACUGACCACACAGCAAAGAGGCCAAGGCCUGGUGGCCUUAUCGUCACGCAUCUCGCUACUAAGUAGUGAUCACACACCAAAUAAAAGCUAACAGCCGAAGAAGGCAACGGAUGUCAACAAAGAUGGCAUGCAUGCAUGUUUCCUUGACUAUAUAUGACAUGGGACAACUAAUUUACAUUUAUACUGCUACGAGUUUUACAAUAUUAGUAAAAAUCUAUUUGGAUCCGAUGCUAAAUUUUAGCGGGCUAAAAAUUAGUCCUUAACGAUUUAAAUGGUGGGGCUAAAGGUGGACUAAUUAUUAGCCAACUCAAACUAAACUUUAGUUCAUUAGCCCUCCAAACCCAGCUAAUGGGGCUAAUUUUACAAACGAAUGGUAAAAGAUUAAAAAUACCCUCCACUAAAAUCUUAAGAUUUUCUCUCCUACACCCCCUAAGGAUAGAAUAGACAUUUCCCAAUAAAUAGGUUAAAAAUUAGCUCUACCUCCAAAGAAGACAGAGUUAUUUUAGCCAACGAAAGUUUUGAUGUCUAAACUUUAGUUUUAGUCCAUCCAAACAGACUCUUAGAAUGAUUGAUACCACCACCUUGAUUUUGGUUCGGAAGUAUUUAUCUAGAUAAAAUAAAAAUUUUAGCGCUGGUCCAUGUAUCUAGAAAAACCAAAUCAACCUACAUUUUGAAACGAAGGGAGUAGAAUGUAAGAUGCAUAGGUGCAACUUGAAGAAAAUUGGAUCCCCGUUGGUACGGAACUAUGAUACAAGUAGGGAGAGAUGUCUCGUACGUAAUUUCGCUGUUGCACGAUUCAUGAAUGCAUGCAUGUAUGAUACAAGUAGCAAGAGACGUCUCGUGAUUUCGCUGUUGCACGAUUCGUCAAGAUGCAGGGACCAGCAUCAUCAAACUGAAAACGUGAUGGACUGAGACGGCGGCGCGUGUUGGAUGUGUUCCGCCUGCAGGCCGCGACGUACUUGAGAAUAGCACGCGUCACGUAAGGGGUGUUUGGUUCUUCAGAACCUCCUAAAAUUCCUAUCACAUCGAAUGUUUAGAUAGUAAUUAGAAUUCCUAUCACAUCGAAUGUUUAGAUACUAAUUAGAAGUAUUAAAUAUAGACUAAUUAUAAAAUCAAUUGCACAGAUGGAGGCUAAUUUGCGAGACGAAUCUAUUAAGCCUAAUUGCACAGAUGGAGGCUAAUUGCGAGACGAAUCUAUUAAGCCUAAUUAGUCCAUGAUUUGACAAUGUGAUACUACAGUAAACAUGUGUUAAUGAUGGAUUAAUUAGGCUUAAUAGAUUCGUCUCGCGAAUUAGCUUCCGUCUGUGUAAUUAGUUUUAUAAUUAACUCAUCUUUAUUCCUUCUAAUUAGACAAAUAUUCGAUGUGACAUAAAUUUUAAUCCGGACUAAAGAUCCAAAUUACCCCUGGUACGCGUGGGAGUAGCUCAGCUGUCCCUGUCCAUUGCGGCCCGGAAACUGGAAUUCCACCUUCAAGAAGUACGUGCCGAGCCUGACUGUUUGUAGAUUCGUCAAGGUCAUCGUGGUGUUUCUAGAUUCGUUUCAUCUUUCGAAGCAGAGUUCUUGUGUUGAGUUCUUGUUGUUCACCGUGGAAGAGUUGGCGUUUCUAGCACGCACGGAGAGUGAACCAAGGCAUGUGGGACGACCCAUUCGGAGUAGUAGUCAAUGUGGAAUUGAAUGACGGGCUGUGUUAUGGUGUGCAUCGAGUGGAAGAAAUUAAAAAGUCUGAUUGCAACGUUACUGCGUUACUUGACGAAAUCUGCAGCUUGAAGAACAGGGAAGGUCCAUGAAUGCAUGCGCCGGAGGAGAUCCGGAACAACGUAUGCAUAUACGGGAGUUCUUGGGAAAAUAAUAAUUAGAUAAAAAUUACUAAAUUAUCUAUAAAAAUGGAAGGUUAACCUACAUGAUUAUGAUAGUGCAGAAAUCAACCGAGCAGGAAUGGAGUCAACAAUGACGUGUCCUGUGCAACAAUGACGUGCCCAGGAAGAUGCGGUCCAGUUGACGCAGCCAAGAUGGGCCGUUACACGUUGAUCCAUUGUUAGCUAGCGCACUCGCUUCACCAGCAGCAACCUCUAUAAAAGGAGAUCAAUACCGGAACAGAUCAGCAAUCUGCACAAGACCACAAGUAGUUAACUAAGCAUUGCAGCCAGUUACUAGCAACUAGUGACUACUGAACAUCCAGCGCGUAGGAUGGCUGCAAGAAAGGAUAUUGGUGCUAACAAGGAGACCUGCGGCGCCUUUGAACCUUGUUUAUGGGGCGACUUCUUUGUGAAUUACACUCCUACCUCAUCACAGGCAUGAAUUUAUGAUUUCAUUGUACUCAGCAUGUUAUAAUGUUUAGUUCUUUAGUUAUAUUGUAUUGCAUAACAAGCAGAGGUCGGAGGAGUGGAUGAGAGAGAGGAGUGAGCAACUCAAAGGGGAAGUGUGCCGGAAGUUUGAGGUUGGAAAAGCCAUGAGCGUGGCCGACGCGGUGAGGUUGGUGGACACGCUUGAACGCCUUGGUAUAGAUAACCAUUUCGUCAAGGAGGUUGAGAAGGCCUUGGAGGGUGUCCACGAUGAGGAGCUGGACUUUGGUAGCUCCAAUGACUUGCAUGUUGUUGCCCUCCGGUUUCGUCUUCUUAGGCAACAUGGCUUUUGGGUAUCCGCAGGUAAUAGAAAUCAGAAGCUAACAAAAGCUGAUCAGUUAUGCUCGAUCAUUAUUCUUUCACACAUGUUUCUCUGUUUUUCUCUUUUUUCCUGUUGCCACCACAUAACCUAUAUACGCUGAAAACUGUUUAUCAUUCAUACAAUUUUUUUUGUUUAGAUUUGAUUUGAAUGCGUGUGUAAUAUUAUGUACUAGGAGUUAUAGAAAACGCCAUAUCAUUACUAUAUGAGCUUCUAGUGAUGAAUAUGUACAUACGUGCAUGCAUACAGAUGUAUUCGACAAAUUCAGAGAUGACACCGGUAGUUUCAACGUAAAUCUAAGCAAUGACCCGAGGGGCCUGCUUAGCUUGUACAAUGCUGCUCACAUGGCGGUACCUGGUGAGACGAUCUUAGAUGAUGCUAUCGCCUUCACUAGGCGCCAUCUUGAGGCUGCAAAAGGCAAGCUUACAUCUCCUAUAAAGGAACAAGUUUCCCGUGCCCUAGAGAUUCCGCUCCCUCGUUUUAUGCGGCAACUAGAGACCAUGCAUUAUAUUACUGAGUAUGAGAAAGAAGAGCCACACGACAUCAUGAUGCUAGAGCUUGCAAAGAUUAACCUCAACCUUCUUAGGAGUGUCCACCUCAAGGAGCUUAAGGACCUCUCACUGUAAGUUGAUAUUCUAGUUCUUUCACCCUAUUUGUUCAUUGUUCAUUGUCUUCACUAACAAGGUGGGUUAACCAAUUCCAUGUGAAGAUGGUGGAGGGAUCUCUAUGACAGUGUGAAGCUAACCUACUGUCGGGACCGCAUCGUGGAGUCUUACUUCUACAGCUUUGGAGUGUUCCAUGGGGAGGAAAGCUCUGCUGCGCGGAUCAUACUUACCAAGGUGUUUGGGUUGUUGGUCCUGAUUGAUGACACAUUUGAUGUGCGCGCCACCUUUGAGGAGUCCCAAAUGUUAGAUGAUGCCUUGCAAAGGUAGGAUAAUUCACUACCACUACAACUACUUCCUCUAUUAUAUGCUUUUUGUAAAUGAAAAAUCAAGUUUUAUCGUACAGCUCACUUAUAAAAAUAACAAGGGACUCGAUAACUGGAAUGCUGACUCACAUAUGAAAAGAACCUAAACUCAUUAUUGUAAGGAAGUCGUACUACAAGAUGGUUGCAUACUUGUAUGUGGUUAUAUAUGUUGUUCGCUGGUCAAAAUAAAACAGCCAAACUAAUUAGUGUAUUUCUGUCAUAAUUAUAUGUAGAUGGGAUGAGAGCACUGUUUCGCUUCUACCACAAUACCUACGCAUGUUCUACAUCAAAACAUUGAGUAACUUCAAUGAAAUUGAGGAUACUUUGGAACCGCACGAGAAGUACCGCAUGGAUUAUGUCAAAAAAGAGGUGUGGCUUUAUAGUCAAAUAGUCAACUAACAGCUACGUAACUUCUGUAGAAACCUGACAAACAUGAACAGUGGUUUAGAUCCUCUCAAUUUUAUUAAUCCAAACUUAUUUGCGUACAAUGUUUUUGAUUUUGCAGUACAAAUUGCAAUCAAAAAAUUCCAUCCAACAGGCUAAAUGGUUCAAUGAAAACUGCACGCCCAGCUUCAAAGAACAUCUAGACGUGUCACUUAUGGCGACGGGUUUGCCGUUGCUGUUCUUCACAGCUCUGAUGAGUGCAGGCCAAGUGAUAAGCAAUGAGGCAUUCGAGUGGGCACUUGACAUGCCUGACAUGUUUUAUGCCAAUAUAGAAGUGGGUCGCUUCCUCAAUGACAUCGCUUCUUACAAGGUACUAUAUCGAGGUCAAAUAAUAGUCUAUCUAUUUUUAAAUAUUUGACGCCAUUACCUUUUUCAUUCUUUUGACUAUUCAUCUUUUGUAUAAACAUAAACAUAUGAUGCACGAUUUAAAGCACUUUUGAUGAGAGGUCUAGUGUUACUUAUUUCGCUUUACUUAAUGAAUUAAUUCAAUAACCAUUAUUGGUCAAAGUUUGAGAAAAAGUCACCUUAGAAGGUAUUUCAAUCAUGGAGGUAUUUAUAAGACCAUUGUUGUUAUUUUUAUUGAUAACAAAUAUUAGAAAAGCAAUGGACAGACAUGCAGUACAUUCCAAACCCCUCUGACAUCAUAAACAGCAAAAUGAUCUACUACCUGCUUGUAUCGGAAAAAUAUGACAUUCAGUGCCCGGAUGGAUCUCUAUGUUACUGCAUAUGCACGCACCUAACAUCACAAAUACACAUAUCUUUGCGCGCAGCAAGGGAAGUGCGAGAAGGAUGUGGCCAGCACUGUGGAGUGCUACAUGAGGGAAUACGGCACGACUGGGGAAGAGGCGGUGGCAGCGAUCACCGGGAUGGUGGAACAUGCGUGGAGGAGGAUAAACAAAGCUGGCAUAGAGGUGAAACCUGCAGUAGAGCCGGUAGUGCAAUGUUUGUUGAACACGACGAGGGUGCUAGAGGCCUACUACCUUCAUGGCAGGGACGGCCUCACCUAUGGCCGUGACCUCAAGGAGCUCAUCACCUUCCUCUUCCUGAAGGAUGUCCAUGUCUAAGUUUGUUAUUUGCAUCAGUACGACAUAUACUGUACUGCAUAUGUGCAAUUGUUAAAUGUGAUGAUUGUGUCGAGAAAAAUAAAAACAAUGGUGCCAACCUAGCUAACUGAUGGUCGAGCCUCGUCACUCGGUUCAGCCUGCCAUUGGCUUAUCUUCUGAACUUAAUCUUUUACAUAUAUGAUAUUGUUAUCUGCUCUCAUUUACUGUCAGACUUUUUGUGUGUUUAGCUCUUGGUCUGCUCUCAUUUGCCUAUGCCGCUGCUCUCUCGUCAAUUUGUCAUAUGUCCUUUCACUGUGAUGCGAUUACAUUUGUUGGGUGCAAUCAAUUUCUUCGGUUCUGUUCUCAAAAAAAAAAUCUUCCGUUCAUAGGACUAGAUUUGCACGAACAAAUUUCCGUUCAAAUUCGUGCAGCUAGAGGAGGCACGAGUCGUCAUUAGUCAAUACUUAGGUAGCUGCAGUUCUGAGCAUCUACUGAAACUCUGUUCUCUUUGCAUCUCCUCUGUUUUCUUCGAACCCUGCUUGAUUCAGUACCAACACAACACAGCUAGCCGGAUCAGGUAGCGUGGUCGCUCUACUACAGAUGAACCUCUGAACAUUAAUUUCCUCUGUUUCUAUAAAUCGUGCAGUUGUUCAACAAUAAGAAACCAACUAAUUUCAUCAUGUUUAUUCAAAAAAUGGCUGGCUUGUGGAAAUGCCCGAAUUGAUGGACUAUAAUGUUGAACACGAAGUUUGGGAAAAGAGUUAAUCUCAGAACUAGAGUUGGCAUGCAUGAAUCAUGAUGCGACUUAGAUCUACUUGUGUAUGUCCAAUUGCAUCAAGGAAAAGAGCUGCUCCAGAGUUAUCUUGAAGCUUUCUCCUCCAAGUGCAGGGAGGAAUAGAACAGAGCAGAGAACAGCUGCACUGCAAAGGUGCCCUCCUUCUCGGGCUGUGACUGUGUAAUAUUCCAAAAAUUUGAAAUAUUAAUUUGAGUGAAAUUUCCAAAAAUUCAAAACUUUUUGUUCAAAUUGUGUGCUUGUUUAAAAAUGAAAGACAAAUUCUCUUCUCAUCCAAAUUCCCUAAUGGUCAAAUCACAAAUCUCUUGAAAACUUGUGUGGAUUUUCAUGGAUUUUAUUUGGAUCUCAAAUAUAAGUGUGUUUGAAUUUUGAAUAUAAUUCAAAAUUCAAACUAAAAUGUAUCCCUCCUAAAUUUCUGUAAAUCAUUUCUUAAGAGCCAGAUCCGCCUUCUCUACAAAAUGUUUUUGCUCCUGAAGCUUUUGGCUGAGAGUAUGGAUCACUUUAUCUUUAUCAGCGAUGGUCCUCAUAACUUUUUCUAUAGUGUCCCGGAGUUUCUCCAAAACACCAAGACAAUAAACACCAAGAUUGUCUGCAGAACUCUUUUCCAGGCUUCUCCAAAACACCAAGACAAUAAACACCAAGAUUGUCUGCAGAACUCUUUUCCAGGCUUUUGACUUUCUGAACGAGGUCGCUGCAAGUGUUGGUAAGCAGCACCUUGUUUCUUUGAAGCUUGGCGUUAGCCUCGAAAAGCUCAUUCUUUAGACUUACUAAAAUGCUAUUUUCCUUCUCGAGCCUCGCCACCUUAGCCUCAAGAUUUAGCAUCUUGGCGCUCUGACUGAGCAUAUCCUUCUCUUUCUCUGCUAGCUUCUUCACAGCGAUCUUGCCGAGGAUCACAGACUGCGCAGGCAGCAAACAGAGAAAGGCAAAUUAAAUGCUAUCAAAUAAUAAGAAGCAAGGAAAAUACACAUAUCAAAUACAAUACCUUGUAACCGAGGUUAGCCAACGGCCUGGCAAGAUCGUCAGGUUCGAGGUCACGAACAGCUUUCUCAUACUCUAUCGGAAUGAGACAUGUUAGAAAAACAAGCAAACUAAGGAUAAGUGCAGUUGAGGUAAACAAAAAAGGAAAUAAGAAGAAAUAACUUUCAGGGUCGAAAGCUUUAUCCUCGCAUUCAUUCCUCAGCACGAGCCUUGGCCUUUCCAGAGGCCUAGAGGUCCUCUUUUUUCUCUGUAUCCCCCUUUUUUCGAGCCUCGCCCCCGUCACCCUCAACUUUCCCUGGGAUUGCCUUCGCCACUUCAUCUACAACACGGACUGCAUCCUCAGUCACAGCCCUGGCAAUGUGGGAAUUCUUCGCAGAGUUUUUGACCUUCAUGCCAGCAAGCGGACCAGUAGCCUCAAGCUCAGGUUUGGUUGUAGCUGGCUCAACCCUCGAGACAAAAGACGCAUAGCUCUUUGUAGCUUCGCCCGAAGAACUUUGACCAAGUCUUUCUUUCUUUUUAAGGGCCUCGAGGCUGGAAAUCUUCAACUUUGCUCUCGCAACCUCACUUACAACUUUGCUCUGGUUCUUGAAUAGUUGAUCAAUGACAUGAGUUUGCUACCUGGAUGUGGAUGAGAACACAAGUGUAGUGUGGUGUCUAACUGUGGUGCUAGCAUGACAUGAUCAUGGUAGAUGAAUGAUCCAUGAAUAAUUGUUGCAUGACUUGCAUCAAUGAUCAAUGGAUGCAUGCUUAAAGCAACAAUACCAAAGACUAUCACACUAUCAUUUACCAUUCAAAAUGUUUCAAGAGGUAGAACUGUAGAACAACCUGUGUAUCUUGCUGUUAAGAUGUACUCUAAAGUAUUCAGCUAUUGGAGGUAACCAAACUAACAUUACAAGCAUGUUGGAGCUAGCUCGAAAAGCCAUAUGGGGAUCCGGGUAUGGUUUAUGAUGUUUCCAUCCGCUCAAAUUCUUCAGCAGUUUCUUUCGAGCAGAGUUUAUAUAAGAUGCAUGCCUCUGUUUGCGAAACACGAGUUUUUUAUUCACAUCAAUGUUUGUACAGGCAAGUUCUAUAAAAAAAUAUUUCAUUCACAUCCUUAGUGAAAGAGACGUUUGCCGUUUACCAAUAAAAUCUUAUGGUCAUCGCCAAUGCUGUAUCUGUGACAGAUAAAAGUACAUUGCAGGAACAAAUAGAUCCUCUGUGGCUCUGUCGUUCAGUCGUUACUAGUUCCUGAAGCGUUAGUGUAAAGAGACCGGAGAAGUAGUCGAGAUCGAGGCCGUUGUCUUGUAGUCGGUUCAGGCAGGCCCGAGGUCACAUUGUUGGCCCUGCUCGAAAAUGUUGCAAGAUGGGAUCGAAGCAGAUCAUUAUGCUCGAAAAUGUAUUUGCAUGGCUUUGUUCCAAAGUUCCUCCGUCAACCAUGCAAGAGUCAGUCUUUUUUUAGUGUGACUGAAUCUUGGCUGCAAGCAAAGCUACAGCCUGCAAACUGCAGGUCACACGAUUCACUUGAUACAUGACUGAAUGGAAGGGAACAUGCCGGUCAUGUUUAGUUCCCUCCAAACUCCCAACUUUGACGCUAUGCAAAAAAAAGAUUCCCCAUCAUAUCAAACUUGCGGUACAUGCAUGGAGUACUAAAUGUAGACGAAAUCAAAAACUAAUUGUACAGUUUUGUUGUACUUUGCGAGACGAAUCUUUUGAGCCUAAUUAGUCAAUAUUUGGAUAAUAAUUCACAAAUACAAACGAAACGGUACAGUUGCGCAUUUAUAGCAAAAUGUCAAUUUUGCCUAUCCCAAAUUGGAAACUAAACAAGGCCUAACAUCUGAGCUGUCGCCGCCGGCAAGGAGUGUAUCCAUUUGUGCAGCCCAAUCACAAAUGCUCGUAUGGGCUACUUUGAAGCGGCAGCAGCAAGACUGUUGCCGAGCACCAAAUGUCAUUCUUUAUCCGAUCUUCAGAAUUCGGUCAUGUAAUAAUUCAGUUCACUCCUUGACUUGAUGAGUGCACUCAAUCACCCAUGAUGAAUGAAUGAUUGAUUAGCAGUUUGCUGGAUGGCAUUGAGAAUAGUUUAGCGGCAUCAGCGCGUGGGGAAUAUAUAGUUUAGCGGCAGGGGCCCAGGACACAGUGCAGGGAAUCAGAGUUCUCGCAAAGAAAACCUUUCUCCGUAGAAUUGCUCAAAGAAUCGUAGAGAAUCACUUUCAAAUUGCAUUAGUAUGUCAAGAACUCACGAUCACUUUCAAAAACGGAACCGGAAACGAUGGGGAGACCUUGGCCUUGACCUGGAGUCGUCGACUGGAGACUGGAGUCAGCACGUGAGCGUGGCCCUCCUGGACAAGCAGCGGGGCCAGGAGCAGGACGUGCAGCGACCAGCAAUCAUUGAGUUUGGUGUUUGAGCAGCGGGGCCACUGAGCGGUGGUGCAUUAUUACCUUCAAUUAUUAAUUGCCUUCCCCUUCCCCUGCAUCCGCAUCCCAUCGACCUCUGCUUCGUGCGAUUCCAAGGCUGUUGCGAGCGGUGAGCUGUGUUGCGGCCGAGCAAGCUUGAAUCAAGCAACCUCGGUCCGGCGACGAGCGGCUGGCGGCGCGAUCCGGCAAACCAGUGAGUCCUAGCUGUCGCACCCUUGUCCUUCAAUCUUCUUCAUGCCCAUCCAUUCCCAUUAGGCAAUAGCUACAGCCUACGAAAAGGCAGGUCGAGCACCCCCAUCCGAAGGAGCCCAAGCGGCCAUCCACAAAGACGUAAAGUCACGAGACCCUAUCGUUAGCUUCUCUCAUCAGUUAAUAUGAUUUCUGUUGUUAGCUUCUCUCCAUCUGAAUUAAGCUGUUCAAACGAUGUCACAAUUUGAUUAAUGAUUUGAAUUUUAAUGGUAGAUCGUCAACAACUCAAAUGUCGAGAAAAACAUCAAUCACACAUCAUUCAGUUUCAUUUUAGUACUAGCAUACAACCUUACUCAUUGGUCUUGCCCAGGGACAACAAAUCCAUGGAGAUCGUGGCGGGGGCACUGCCGAGCCUCCUCCCCAAGCUUGCUGAGCUGCUAGUAGGCGAGUACAAUCUGCAAAAGGAGGUGAAAGGAGGCAUCAUCUUCCUCCAAGCUGAGCUCGAGAGCAUGCAAGGUGCCCUCGAGAAGAUCUCGAGGACACCAGCAGACAAGAUUGACGACCAGGACAAGAUCUGGGCUAGGAAAGUGAGAGAGAUGUCCUACGAUAUAGAGGACAAUAUUGACAAAUAUAUCCUGCAGUGCAAGGGGAGGAAGACGGGCGAACAGCAUAGCAUCAAGGAAGCCAUUGAUAGGACCCUCAAAUGGUUCAGGCAGCCUAAGAUUCGUCGUAAGAUUGCUACAGAAAUCAGAGAGAUCAAGAGCCGUGUCAUCGAGGUGCAUGAACGGCGUCGCAGGUAUGAGGUCAGCCUUGGUGUUGAUAAGCCUGUAACUGUGGACCCUCGUUUAUUCGCUCAGUACACAGAGGUCAAAGAGCUUGUUGGCAUGGAUGAGGCAAGGGAUGAGUUAAUCAACAAGAUUAUGAUACAAGAGAAUGAAGUUCCCAAGAAGCAAGGCAAGAUAGUUUCAAUUGUUGGAUUUGGAGGCCUAGGAAAGACAACUCUUGCCAAUGCAGUGUACAAAAAGAUUAGAGCACAGUUUGAUUGCUAUGCUUUUGUUUCUGUUUCUCAAACUCCUAACCUGAAGAAACUGUACAACGGCUUGCUAUAUGAUCUUGGCAAGAGCAUCAAUGAAGAAACAUUGG